rnacentral:rRNA from 1 species
GUCUACGUCCAUACCACCCUGAACAAGCCCGAUCCCGUCUGAUCUCGGAAGCUAAGCAGGGUCAGGCCUGGAUAGUACUUGGAUGGGAGACCACCUAGGAAGACUGGGUGCUGUGGGCA